rnacentral:rRNA from 1 species
CCUACGGGAGGCAGCAGUGGGGGAUAUUGCACAAUGGGGGCAACCCUGAUGCAGCGACGCCGCGUGAGCGAUGGAGUACUUCGGUAUGUAAAGCUCUGUCAGCAGGGAAGAGAAUGACGGUACCUGACUAAGAAGCCCCGGCUAAAUACGUGCCAGCAGCCGCGGUACUACGUAUGGGGCAAGCGUUAUCCGGAUUUACUGGGUGUAAAGGGAGCGUAGGCGGCAGGGCAGGUCUGAGGUGGAAGGCUGGGGCUCAACCCCGUGAGUGCGUUGGGAACUGGGCAGGUCGAGUGACGAAGGGGCAGGCGGGAUACGUAGAGUGGAGGUGGAAUGCGUGGAGAUUAGGAGGGACACCAGAGGGGAGGGGGGGCUGC